UUCUGUACAUACGUCGACGCGCGUAUAGUUAAUUUUCUCUCCUAUAAAGAAGUAAAUAAUCUCGAUCCAUGGAGUCCGGCCGGCUCAUCUUCAACGCGACGGGCUCCGGCGCCGGGCAGAUGCUCUUCCUGGACUGCGGCGCGGGCGGCGGCGGCUUGUUCCAUCGAGGUAUUAGUCCCAUCUAGAUUUCCUUCCUUGUCAAUUUCAUCUUGGUGCGCGUGGUGCUUCGAUCUUGGCUCGGGAUUCGUGUGUACUGAUUGGGGUUGCCAUGUGGGAGUGAUGAAGGUGGGAGACCGAUGAUGAUGGGCCUGGAAGAAGGGCGCGGCGUAAAGCGGCCCUUCUUCACCUCCCCCGACGAGCUCCUCGAGGAGGAGUACUACGACGAGCAGCUGCCGGAGAAGAAGCGCCGCCUCACCCCGGAGCAGGUAACUGGUCAACCCGGCCGCUCUGGCCACCAUGCUAGCUAGGCAACACGUGGAUGCGUGGCGUGAAGCAUGCAUGCGCGCACGUGCAGGUGCAUCUGCUGGAGAGGAGCUUCGAGGAGGAGAACAAGCUGGAGCCGGAGCGCAAGACGGAGCUGGCCCGCAAGCUCGGGCUGCAGCCUCGCCAGGUGGCCGUCUGGUUCCAGAACCGCCGCGCACGGUGGAAGACCAAGCAGCUCGAGCGCGACUUCGACCGCCUCAAGGACUCCUUCGACGCCCUCCGCGCCGACCACGACGUCCUCCUCCAGGACAACCACCGCCUCCGCUCACAGGUACGGUAACCCUCCUCCUCCUCUCGCUCCUAUCCAUGGCCUCCGAGUACGUUGCUGAUGGAUGAGCCGGCGAUCUGUGCGCUAUUGUUUUGAUUAAGGUGGCGUCGUUGACCGAGAAGCUGCAAGAGAAGGAGGUGACGGACGGCGCUGGCGCCGACGCCGCGGUGUUGCCGGUGGAUGUCAAGGCCUCCCUGGCCGAUGACAUCGAGGAGCCGGCCGCGGCCGCGGAGGAGGCGGCGUUCGAGGCGCAGCAGGUGAAGUCCGAGGACAGGCUGAGCACGGGCAGCGGCGGGAGUGCGGUGGUGGACGCGGACGCGCUGCUGUGCGGCCGGUUCGCCGCCGCCGUCGACAGCAGCGUGGAGUCCUACUUCCCCGGCGGCGAGGACCACUACCACGACUGCGGGAUGGGCCCCAUGAACCCCUGCGCGGGAGGGAUCCAGUCGGACGAUGACGGCGCGGGCAGCGACGAGGGGUGCAGCUACUACCCCGAAGACGAAGCAGCCGCCGCCGCCGCGCUCUUCGCCGGACACGCCAACCCCCACGCCGCCGAGGACGAGGACGCCGGACAGAUCAGCUGGUGGAUGUGGAACUAGGCAUUCCGCAUUCUUCCCGCGCCGAUCGACCGUCAAAUUGAUCUUGUGUUGUCAAGAACUCGUACCUCUGUUUUCUUUCGCAACGUUGCUGUAAUAUGGUGAAUUCCUAGCUACUGUUUGAUUAUGGAGAAGGUGUAUG
rnacentral:lncRNA from 1 species